UGGAUCCCGGAUGAGGAUCUGACCUGCGGUAUUCAGCGAGGAGUUGGUGUGCACUGACGUGCAAUUAAUGCACACUAGCAGCUCUUUGCUGAGCCGUGAAAUACAGUCGGUAGUGACUGAUGGUCGGUCGUGUUGCUGGCCAUUGUGUGAUAAGAGAGGAUGUCCGAGGAUGUGCCUUGCCACAGUGAGCUGCUCAUGGUGACCAUUGUCUGCUGCCAAUCAACAUGAUGAUAUCAUGUC
rnacentral:misc_RNA from 1 species